UUCAUAUUAACUAUUUAUAAUUUUUCCCGACCAACAUGCUUCUCGUGGGGGAUCUACACUUUGUUUCGAUCAAUGGCGGAAAGUGGUGUCCACACGGCCACACUUCGCCCACGGUGAAGCACACACCGGCAAAAGAGAGCAAGGUCCAUAACGGCGGGGACCCUUACCCUCGUCCUGAUCUUCGCAUCUCUUGGUCACUUCACCACGGGGAAGCCCGGCUCGGACAUGAGAUUCAAUGUCCAUAACGGUGAGGGCCCUUACUCUCACCCUGAUGUUGUUUCUCCAGCUUUUCUGGGGGCCCUUACCCCCAAGAAACCGCACUUUCCGUCACCCAAUUUGGCCACAAAGGAUUUGCGUGAUUUAUUAAGGAGCAAUUUAUUUUAAAAAAUAAAUUAGGAUUAAUAAGAGGCAACAUCCAUACCGAAAAUUGGGAUUAAUAAGAGGCAACAUCCAUACCUAAAACUAUGUAACCUAAACGGUAACGAUAACCAGGGAAAACAACCGCUUUCCUCUCCGGGCAAUAUCUGCCAAGCGUCAAUGUCAAACUGCCAAUAUAAUCCUAUUUUGCUAAGCCAACAUUCCUCAGUUAUCAGCAAAAGCUAGCCAAAUCUUAUCUCAGUUCACUCUGGUUUCAACGGUCUUCGAGACAACAUAAAAGGAAAAUCCCACCCACCCAACCCUUUAAUGAAGAUGAUGAUCCAAUAAUCAGGAACUAUAGAAACUUAAUUAAAUAUAGGAAAUCAAUUGUAAUCAUAUCUAUAUUGUUCUGUUUUAUCAACUUGUAAAUAAUUUUAUACAUUCAAGAAGAAAUAAAGAAAGCGGGACGGAAAGUGGUGUCCACACGGCCACACUUCGCCCACGGUGAAGCACACACCGACAAAAGAGAGCAAGGUCCAUAACGGCGGGGGCCCUUACCCUCGUCCUGAUCUUCGCAUCUCUCGGUCGCUUCACCACGGGGAAGCCCGGCUCGGACAUGAGAUUCAAUGUCCAUAACGGUGAGGGCCCUUACUCUCACCCUGAUGUUGUUUCUCCAGCUUUUCUGGGGGCCCUUACCCCCAAGAAACCGCACUUUCCGUCACCCAAUUUGGCCACAAAGGAUUUGCGUGAUUUAUUAAUGA